rnacentral:rRNA from 1 species
AGUGAACGCUGGCGGUAGGCCUAACACAUGCAAGUCGAACGGCAGCACAGUAAGAGCUUGCUCUUACGGGUGGCGAGUGGCGGACGGGUGAGGAAUACAUCGGAAUCUACUUUUUCGUGGGGGAUAACGUAGGGAAACUUACGCUAAUACCGCAUACGACCUACGGGUGAAAGCAGGGGAUCUUCGGACCUUGCGCGAUUGAAUGAACCGAUGUCGGAUUAGCUAGUUGGCGGGGUAAAGGCCCACCAAGGCGACGAACCGUAGCUGGUCUGAGAGGAUGAUCAGCCACACUGGAACUGAGACACGGUCCAGACUCCUACGGGAGGCAGCAGUGGGGAAUAUUGGACAAUGGGCGCAAUCCUGAUCAAGCCAUACCGCGUGGGUGAAGAAGGCCUUCGGGUUGUAAAGCCCUUUUGUUGGGAAAGAAAAGCAGCAGGUUAAUACCCCGCUGUUCUGACGGUACCCAAAGAAUAAGCACCGGCUAACUUCGUG